rnacentral:rRNA from 1 species
UACGAAGGGGGCUAGCGUUGUUCGGAUUUACUGGGCGUAAAGCGCACGUAGGCGGAUCGUUACGUCGGGGGUGAAAUCCUGGAGCUCAACUCCAGAACUGCCUUCGAUACUGAGAGUCUCGAGUCCGGGAGAGGUGAGUGGAACUGCGAGUGUAGAGGUGAAAUUCGUAGAUAUUCGCAAGAACACCAGUGGCGAAGGCGGCUCACUGGCCCGGUACUGACGCUGAGGUGCGAAAGCGUGGGGAGCAAACAGG